rnacentral:rRNA from 1 species
AAGCUCGUAGUUGAAUUUCGGGGUUAGUAGGUUGGUCAUGCCUCUGGUAUGUACUGGUCUCACUGAUUCCUACUUCCUGAUGAACCGUAAUGCCAUUAAUUUGGUGUUGCGGGGAAUUUAGACUGUUACUUUGAAAAAAUUAGAGUGUUUAAAGCAAGCUAACGCUUGAAUACAUUAGCAUGGAAUAAUGAAAUAGGACGUUCGAUCCUAUUUUGUUGGUUUCUAGGAUUGACGUAAUGAUUAAUAGGGAUAGUUGGGGGCAUUAGUAUUCAAUUGUCAGAGGUGAAAUUCUUGGAUUUAUUGAAGACUAACUACUGCGAAAGCAUUUGCCAGGGAUGUUUUCAUUAAUCAAGAACGAAAGUUAGGGGAUCGAAGACGAUCAGAUACCGUCGUAGUCUUAACCAUAAACUAUGCCGACUAGGGAUCGGAUGAUGUUAAUUUUUUAAUGACUCAUUCGGCGCCUUACGGGAAACCAAAGUGUUUGGGUUCCGGGGGGAGUAUGGUCGCAAGGCUGAAACUUAAAGGAAUUGACGGAAGGGCACCACCAGGGGUGGAGCCUGCGGCUUAAUUUGACUCAACACGGGGAAACUUACCAGGUCC